CAAAGCAAAUCCACUGACGCAGCGGUCCCCGCAGGCUUCUGCAAAACACACCAGGAGAGGACUCUGCCCGCUGUCUCCCUCGCAAUCUGCUCCAGAUAUUUUGGUCAGGAAUGUCAGAAUGUCUAGUGACCCCGAGUGAGGCGCUGCCUUUUAUUCCUGAGCACCUUUGGAAGCAGGAAGCAGGGAGCAACGGUAGCGAGAGGUAUUUGGAUUUGAGUACAGCAGGAAGAAGAAAUAGAGGAAGAAAUCCUCCAUAAGGAAGGCGUGAGGAGCGCAGGAAGCGCUGUUUCCCUGCCUGAGGUCUUUAUUCUACCUAGUCUUUAUUCUACGUAGCAGAUACGCUUUAAGAUUAUGGAAGAGAAGGCUAGGGGUUUAAAGGUUGGGAAUCUCUCGGAAGAGCUGGGUCUUGGUGACAGGAAAAACAGGUGAUCCCCAUUGACCAAGACCAUACCUCUAAGAUAGAGCUCUGCAGCACAAUCUACACAACUUUACAGGGCAUGCAGAAUAUAUUUCCUGUCCAAUAAUGACAGAAAUACUUGAUUUUGAAAAGUAACAGUUACAGCAUGGAAUAGAAGACUAAUGAAGUUUGAGGGCCCACUUCAGAGUCCUGGUUGAAAUGGAGGUUGAGAAGUAUAACGCAGUCAGUGCAGGUGACUUUCAGCUGGGUAUCUAGUCCUAUUAGAGGUAAGAACUGUGGUUACCCUAACCAAAACAAUAGGAUUAAAAGACCUUAAAUGAAAGGUGAAAAUUAUUAUAAGAGAAAUGAUCAUACUGGCAAACAAUUCACCUCCAAGAAUUAUGAUGUAAUUCUUUGUCAGCUACUCACAGAUGGAAUUCUAAACCGGUAGCAGACCCUGAAGGACAAUGUCACCAUCAGAACCACCAACAAGGACAAACUGUCCCUCUCCUGUAUCAUCCUACAUACCAUCUGUAUCCACAAAAAUGCUCGUUUUUCAACAAGCCUCCUAUUUCUUUUGGGUGACUGGGCAUACUGCCCAGCACCUCCAUCACAUACUUUAGCACUUUCCACCCUGACUCAGGGUCCCACAUGCCUCCUGUUUCUUAUUGACCAGUGAUCUGUCACUAUGGGCACUGUCAUUCUACAUCAGUGAGUGCAGAAUGCUAUGGUGUUCAUGCAGACUCUCUGAGCUGACUCUGCAGGCAGUGAUCAGGCUUCAACUGGCUCAGUGUCAUCCUGAACCUGCAUGUGAUGGCGGAUGACCAUUGAGAAAAUGCAAGGACACUAUGCCGGGAGCUACAGCCAAAUGGGGCCCUCUUUGAUGCUGCACCAUUCACAAUGCAACCCAGCUAUCCCGUCACCAAAGUGGACACCAGCUGGGGCACAAAGGCCAGCUAAUGUGGCUCUUCAAACUAGAGAUGUGCAUGAGCUAGAUGUGUGCUGUGUCACUGUGGUUGACAGAAAUGCAACCUGCCAAGGUUUGUUGGUCACCAUGGUCAAUGAUCAGUCAUCACGCUGCACCUGGUUGCUGCUCACAGUUUGCAGGAAUUGCUGCCAGAAUUCAGCAAUCGCCCAGCACCCAACAGCAGGCAGCAGACAGCACCCAACAGCUGUAGUUUAACCUAGUGAUGGCCUUUGCCUUAUCUUCAUGCUGUUUCUCCUAAGUGUGACUAUGGCCAUCUCCCUGAACCUGCAACGCCUCCUCUAGCCCCAUUGCCUGGGGCUGCUUUCACCCUGCUCUCUGAUCCAAGCCUGAGUAUGGAGCUAUCUCCAACUUAAAGGAAGGAGAUUUGCCCUGUUCCUACAAUGUAUGUAUGGCUUUAGAUAUUUUUAAAAUCUUGAUUUCUUUAAACUCAAGAAACAGCUUUCAACCAGAUAUUCUCUGCAGUGCCAGCAAUGAAACUUUGUUUUAUUUUGUUUUUGUUUUUGUAGAAACAGGGUUUCGCUAUGUUGACCAAGCUGGUCUCAAACUCCUGGCCUCAAAUGAUCUGCCCACCUUGGCCUCCCAAAGUGCUGAGAUUGCCGGCAUGAGCCACCGUGCCUGCCCAGUAAUGAAGCUUUAAAUGUUACCUUUGAUUCAAAUGUAUUUGUGUGAUAUUUUAACAUUUUUAUUUUAUACUUAUCAUACUUUUAUAAAUCACUCCUGCAUGUUUUUGGUUGUUGAGAGUGGGGAGCUCUAUAGGUUUACUUGCUAGUUUUUAUGUAUACUUUAAUUUGCCUCAUUAGUUUACAAUUUCUUUGGGGAAAAGUUUUUGCCUAUUAAUGUGUUCUGAAAAGUUAUGUUUUCUGUUAAAGAGUUUUUUCCUUGCAAUAUUGAAGGUGAUUUAUUGCAUCUUUAAAUUUCUACUCUUUGGCUCCAUAUACUUGUCUUUGAGAAACUGAUAAACUGUAGAUUUGUUUAUAUAAGAACUAAAAUUCUCUUUCCAAAAACUA